rnacentral:tRNA from 1 species
GCAUAGCUCAGCUGGUAGGACGAUGCAUUAUUAUAUGCAGGGGCCUGGGUUCGAACCCCGGACA